UAAUUCUGCUGUCAUUUCAGAACCUGGUACCAAACUCCCACCAGGCCACACUGGGUCGAGACCAAAGUGCAGAAAGAAAAUCAUAGAAAUGAAACUGGUAAAGUAUAAAUACAGGUGUGAUUGUAUGGAAAGUGCAUCUGAGGUCAAAUGGGUGAAGUGUCUGUGCUGCUCGUGAGGGCAGAGGAGGGUGAUGUCUGUAGAUCUGAGGAACAUCACUGACUCAGCCGGAGCUUCUUCCCUGUGACGUGUGUUCAGAGUUUCCCACCAGGAUCAGUUCCAGAUGACAAACGGCUCAGGAAGCAGAAAACAGGGUGUAAAUCUAAAUCAUCCCAGAGAGCCACGGAGGCAGGAAGAGUCCGACCGUCCCCAGCAGACACACGAUGAUGAACAUCCACAGGAAGAUCCGGUCUACGACCAUGGCCACGUACUUCCAGUCCUCCUUCACCUGUAGAGACAAAACAGAUGAGAAGAGGACGACACUCUAGAUGAAAGUCUCUUAUUAACCAAAAGCAGCGACACUUGCCGAGAAGUCUGCAUCCUCUGCUCUCAGAUGCUCUGCGAUGUAGGUGACCCCCUCCAGGGCUGACACCACCGCAGGAGACAGAACAGCGCCGGAUGGGCUCUGGAUCAAACCAUGCUCCACAGGAGGGGUGUCCCAGUCCAAACUGAGUGUGGAGCGUCUCUGUUGGAGGAGGGUGUAACCAGGAGAUGGAGGGGAAGGUGGAGAGAGGGAGGAAAUCCUCGAACGGCCGCUUAUCUUCACCCCCGACCUCGGCAGGUUUGAGUAACCAUGAAUAUCGCAGUAGUGAAUUUCAUCUCCGCUGUCCAAGGAGUCCAGCUGGUGGCUGUCGUGGCAACCGUUGUCAUGCUGGUAACCAUGGAGAUCGAUGUCCGACUCCUCAGUGAUCCAGGUAGAUGUGAUGUUGGGGGGGCCAGGGGUCCAGACAGGGAGGAGCCUAUCAGUUAGGCGUCUUCGCCUGAGAAAACAAAGCCUCCGAUCGUGAUGUGGACGCUUCAUGCACAGCCAGCGAGGCACCGAACACAGGAAGAGCCUCCGAACCCACCGGGGCAUGGUGUGCGUCGCCGACGACCGGUGGUGCACGUUCAGCACGAACACGGUGAUGGCGAUCGACAGCGUGACGAAAAUCAUGGUGAAGAGCAGGUACUCCCCGAUCAGCGGAAUAACCAGCGACGUGGACGGGAUGAUCUCGGUGAUGAGCAGCAGGAAGACGGUGAGCGACAGCAGCACGGAGAUGCACAGUGUGAUUUUCUCGCCACAGUCCGACGGCAGGUAGAACACCAGCACGGUCAGGCAGGAGAUGAGGAGGCAGGGGAUGAUGAGGUUGAUGGUGUAGAACAACGGGAGGCGGCGGAUGACGAAGUAGUAGGUGAUG